rnacentral:rRNA from 1 species
CCUACGGGUGGCUGCAGUCGAGAAUCAUUCACAAUGGGGGAAACCCUGAUGGUGCGACGCCGCGUGGGGGAAUGAAGGUCUUCGGAUUGUAAACCCCUGUCAUGUGGGAGCAAAUUAAAAAGAUAGUACCACAAGAGGAAGAGACGGCUAACUCAGUGCAAGCAGCCGCGGUAAUACAGAGGUCUCAAGCGUUGUUCGGAAUCACUGGGCGUAAGGCGUGCGUAGGCUGUUUCGUAGGUCGGGUGUGAAAGGCGCGGGCUCAACCCGCGGACGGCACAUGAUACUGCGAGACUAGAGUAAUGGAGGGGGAACCGGAAUUCUCGGUGUAGCAGUGAAAUGCGUAGAUAUCGAGAGGAACACUCGUGGCGAAGGCGGGUUCCUGGACAUUAACUGACGCUGAGGCACGAAGGCCAGGGGAGCGAAAGGGAUUAGAUACCCGGGUAGUC